rnacentral:rRNA from 1 species
AGCUAACGCGUUAAGUCGACCGCCUGGGGAGUACGGCCGCAAGGUUAAAACUCAAAUGAAUUGACGGGGGCCCGCACAAGCGGUGGAGCAUGUGGUUUAAUUCGAUGCAACGCGAAGAACCUUACCUACUCUUGACAUCCAGAGAACUUUCCAGAGAUGGAUUGGUGCCUUCGGGAACUCUGAGACAGGUGCUGCAUGGCUGUCGUCAGCUCGUGUUGUGAAAUGUUGGGUUAAGUCCCGCAACGAGCGCAACCCUUAUCCUUUGUUGCCAGCGGUUNGGCCGGGAACUCAAAGGAGACUGCCAGUGAUAAACUGGAGGAAGGUGGGGAUGACGUCAAGUCAUCAUGGCCCUUACGAGUAGGGCUACACACGUGCUACAAUGGCGCAUACAAAGAGAAGCGACCUCGCGAGAGCAAGCGGACCUCAUAAAGUGCGUCGUAGUCCGGAUUGGAGUCUGCAACUCGACUCCAUGAAGUCGGAAUCGCUAGUAAUCGUAGAUCAGAAUGCUACGGUGAAUACGUUCCCGGGCCUUGUACACACCGCCCGUCACACCAUGGGAGUGGGUUGCAAAAGAAGUAGGUAGCUUAACCUUCGGGAGGGCGCUUACCACUUUGUGAUUCAUGACUGGGGUGAAGUC